GGCGAGAUGGCCGAGCGGUCUAAGGCGCUGUGUUAAGGUGACUCCAAGUUAUCCUCCGCAGUCUUCGGACGUGGGUUCGAAUCCCACUCUCGUCA
rfam:Trichosporon asahii var. asahii CBS 8904 unplaced genomic scaffold scaffold00167, whole genome shotgun sequence.